UUUUUCUUCUCUUUUUGGCGUAUUUCUUUCCCUGUCUUUUUUUCUUCUUCUUUUUUCAAUCAUAGUCAUUUAAUAGCAUUGAUAGACAUUACAAAUAACCAUCCCACAAUAGGAAAGUGGGAGCUAAAGGUUCAUGGUCCCACAGACUACAUGCCACAACUCCCCCAGAACACCCCACCCUCUCCACUACCCGCUUCCUUGUGUUCCUCUCCUUCUGACCAGAGUCCAGGAGUACAGGGAGGGGAGGGGAGGAGAGAGGAGGAGAGAGGAGGAGAACACAGAAAGACAGCUGAAGAAGGGGGAACAGAGGAUGAAGUCUCUCGCUCUCAUGUUCUUCCCCUCAGAGUGACAUCUUGGGAGAGAAAGAGAGAGAUCAAGAGGAGAGGAGGAGCGAAUUGAGAAGGGGGAUAUCAGCCUUAUUGGACCGACUGCAGGGUGGGGGCACAGGGGUUGCAUAGGGGCAGAUGGAGGUACAGCUCCCCCAUGUGGCCGUGGAAGAAGACAGCAGAGUCUGAUAGACCCAUAGCCAGACCUCCAGACCAGAGGACACCUUCACAUUCCCUGACCCAGCACACAACACCUCAGAGUGGCGAGAGGAGACCGUCAUCUGUCCUUCCAAGCUGAACCACAUGACCCAGCAGAGAGCAUCUUUGGAGUGUCCUGUCUGACUGAGAUGAACGGGCUUGGUCCGGGAUGAGACUGUCAUCCUAAUGUCUCGUCUGUAUCCAGACUUUGAGUGGGUUGUGCUGAAGCUUCAGAAUAGCUUCUUGUUCUGUGAGAGAUCUUUUCUGGAGGACAUCAUCAUUCAGUGUAACGGGCCUAUGACUUACUUAUCUAGUGUUGCAGAGACUACCAACAGGCUUGUGUGCUAGUCUAAUGACAACCCUUGUCAUUCAGUGUAACGGGCCUAUGACUUACUUAUCUAGUGUUGCAGAGACUACCAACAGGCUUGUGUGCUAG